rnacentral:rRNA from 1 species
AACAAACGCUGGCGGCGUGCCUAACACAUGCAAGUCGUACGAGAAAGGGUCCUUCGGGGCCUGAGUAAAGUGGCGCACGGGUGAGUAACGCGUGGAUAAUCUGCCCUUCAGUUGGGAAUAACUCAUCGAAAGGUGGGCUAAUACCGAAUAAUGCUGUGAGACCUCGGUUGAUCAGCCAAAGAGAGCCUCUGCUUGCAAGCCCUCGCUGAAGGAUGAGUCCGCGUACCAUUAGCUAGUUGGUAGGGUAAUGGCCUACCAAGGCGACGAUGGUUAGCUGGUCUGAGAGGAUGAUCAGCCACACUUGAACUGAGACACGGUCCAGACUCCUACGGGAGGCAGCAGUGGGGAAUAUUGGACAAUGGGCGCAAGCCUGAUCCAGCAAUGCCGCGUGUGUGAAGAAGGCCUUCGGGUUGUAAAGCACUUUAAGCGGGGAGGAAGCGCAGUCAGUUAAUACCUGAUUGCGUUGACGUUACCCGCAGAAUAAGCACCGGCUAACUCUGUGCCAGCCGCCGCCGUAACAC